rnacentral:rRNA from 1 species
GACGAACGCUGGCGGCGUGCCUAAUACAUGCAAGUAGAACGCUGAAGGAGGAGCUUGCUUCUCUGGAUGAGUUGCGAACGGGUGAGUAACGCGUAGGUAACCUGCCUGGUAGCGGGGGAUAACUAUUGGAAACGAUAGCUAAUACCGCAUAAGAGUAGAUGUUGCAUGACAUUUGCUUAAAAGGUGCAAUUGCAUCACUACCAGAUGGACCUGCGUUGUAUUGGCUAGUUGGUGAGGUAACGGCUCACCAAGGCAACGAUACAUAGCCGACCUGAGAGGGUGAUCGGCCACACUGGGACUGAGACACGGCCCAGACUCCUACGGGAGGCAGCAGUAGGGAAUCUUCGGCAAUGGACGGAAGUCUGACCGAGCAACGCCGCGUGAGUGAAGAAGGUUUUCGGAUCGUAAAGCUCUGUUGUAAGAGAAGAACGAGUGUGAGAGUGGAAAGUUCACACUGUGACGGUAUCUUACCAGAAAGGGACGGCUAACUACGUGC